CAGCAGCCGCGGUAAUGCGUAGGUGGCAAGCGUUGUCCGGAAUUAUUGGGCGUAAAGGGCUCGCAGGCGGUUUCUUAAGUCUGAUGUGAAAGCCCCCGGCUCAACCGGGGAGGGUCAUUGGAAACUGGGAAACUUGAGUGCAGAAGAGGAGAGUGGAAUACCACGUGUAGCGGUGAAAUGCGUAGAGAUGUGGAGGAACACCAGUGGCGAAGGCGACUCUCUGGUCUGUAACUGACGCUGAGGAGCGAAAGCGUGGGGAGCGAACAGGAUUAGAUACCCCCGUAGUCCCUGUCUCUUAUAC
rnacentral:rRNA from 1 species